AUACGUAGGUGGCGAGCGUUGUCCGGAUUUACUGGGUGUAAAGGGCGAGUAGGCGGCUUGUCAAGUCAGGUGUGAAAUCCAUGGGCUCAACCCAUGAACUGCACUUGAAACUGACGAGCUUGAGUGAUGGAGGGGCAGGCGGAAUUCCCGGUGUAGCGGUGGAAUGCGUAGAUAUCGGGAGGAACACCAGUGGCGAAGGCGGCCUGCUGGACAUUAACUGACGCUGAGGAGCGAAAGCGUGGGGAGCAAACAGGAUUAGAUACCCUGGUAGUCCACGCCGUAAACGAUGGAUACUAGGUGUGGGAGGUACUGACCCCUUCCGUGCCGCAGUUAACACAAUAAGUAUCCCACCUGGGGAGUACGGCCGCAAGGUUGAAACUCAAAUGAAUUGGCGGGG
rnacentral:rRNA from 1 species